rnacentral:rRNA from 1 species
GACGAACCGUGCGACCGUUAUUCGGAAUCACUGGGCUUAAAGCGCGUGUAGGCGGGAGGGCACGUCGGUCGCUGAAAUCCCCCGGCUCAACCGGGGAACGGGCGCCGAUACGACCUUCCUGGAGGGACGUAGGGGGACCUGGAACUUCCGGUGGAGCGGUGAAAUGCGUUGAGAUCGGAAGGAACGCCCGUGGCGAAAGCGAGGUCCUGGACGUUUUCUGACGCUGAGACGCGAAAGCCAGGGGAGCGAACGGG